CCUACGGGGGGCAGCAGUGGGGAAUAUUGGGCAAUGGGCGCAAGCCUGACCCAGCAACGCCGCGGGAAGGAAGAAGGCUGUCGGGUUGUAAACUUCGUGUGACAGGGAAGAGGAGAAGACGGUACCUGUCGAAUAAGCCACGGCUAACGACGUGCGAGCAGCCGCGGUAAUACGUAGGUGGCAAGCGUUGUCCGGAUUUACGGGGUGGAAAGGGCGUGUAGCCGGGUUGACAAGUCAGAUGUGAAAUCCUGCGGCUUAACCGCAGAACUGCCUUUGAAACUGUUGAUCUUGAGUACUGGAGAGGCAGCCGGACUUCCUAGUGUAGCGGUGAACUGCGUAGCUAUUA
rnacentral:rRNA from 1 species